GGAGGGGGGAUCGGGGAGGUCCGAAGGGUCCGGGGGGAGGGUCGGGUCGGGUCCGGUCCGGCCCAGCCGCGGUUCCGCCGCCGCUGCCCGGCCCGGAAGUGCAGCCCAGGGCCCCUUCCGGCGGCUCCGCGCUGCGCCCGGGAGAGGUGCCCGCGCGAUCGCCUGCGCGGGACGGCGGAGAGACAGGUCAUAAGCACAGAAAUCCUGGAGGCUGGAAGGAGAGUGGGUCAGUGCCCUCUGCAGAGCAGCAUCCCCUGCUCCAGCCACCUCUUGUGCUGCAGUCCACCUCCAAGAUGUGCCACCAUGCCUGUGGAGAUGUCCCAGGUAAGAUGGCCCUCUCCUGUAGCUCCAUCUAACAGCAGCCACACUGUGGUGCUCACCUGCCACCCCCUCCAACCCAGGCAUCCCUCAGUUAGCCUAUGGACACCAGGACGAGCCAGAGGGACAGGUCUUGCUCCCAAAUCCCACUCUGAUCUAGAUGCCAGUACUAUCAGUAUCUUUCAUGUUACUCUUGCCACUCAAGCUAGGUUGUUGCUGCAUUCUUCUGUUACAUUCAAGCCUUUUCAGUAGCUGGUAGAUCCGAGAGCUCACAUUUAGUCCCACUGCACUCUCCAAGCCACUGUGUUUCUUGGGGGAUUUUUUUAGGUUUUUGAGUGGGUUUGUUUGGUUGGUUUUUUGUGGGUUUUUGUUGUUUUUUUUUUUUGUGGGGGAAUUUUUUUGUUUGUUUUUGGGUUGGUUUGGUUUUGUUUUGUUCUGUUUUGUUUUUAAUCACAAAGAGGGUGGGAACUUCCAAGCACCAGUAAAGCAGGAAAACAAGGCAGCAGAAUCAUUCUGCCAGUAGGGCCAGCCCAAGCAUCCUCAUCAGGGAACUUUGCUCAGAAUUAGAAAACGUUUCUCAUUCUUCAAACAGGUGGCUGCAUUUCACACUCCCAAGUCCCAACGCCAUAUUGCCCAGGAUGUGGGGUACAUCCCAAAGGGCUUCUCAGAAGCCCAGUGUCCAGCUGCAGCUCCAGGUGCCCCAGGGCAGCAGGGCACAGCAGGGAAUGGCUCUCUGGCACAGACCCUCGGUGCUGGUGGCAGCUACAAAAGCCCUGACGAGUUCAGCCAAGCAGCUUUUCCCUGGAGCUGUGGGUCCUUGGAGGAGAGGGCCUGCACCAGCUCCUCCUCCCGUUGCUCCAAAUGCACUGGGCAGGUCUGGGAUGUGGACUGUGUUGGAUGCCCAGCAGCUCUAGGUGCCUGUGCCUCCAGCAGCUUCUUCACAGUUUCCACUGGGGGAAAGGCUGGCCAGAGCCACUUCUUCCUCAGGGUCCUGCAGGUCAUCUGCAGGGAGCAGAGAGAGGUCAAGGCAGACCUGAAUGGAAAACCCCUCUGCACAGAAAAUGCAACUGAAGAUGAAAAGAAAGCAUGAGCUGAAGCAAUUGAUAUAUACUCACAACCUAAGCACAGCUGAUUUUUUUUCAAAACUGGUUUUCAUUUUGUUUUACAAACUUAACAUUGCUUCAUCAAAUAGAGCAAAGGAACACAGGGCCCAGUUCCUGGCCUCCUGAAGUCUCAGCAAUCUCAAAACAAGUUGCAUGGCCACAGGGUAUUGCCUGCCUGGCACUGACAGGAAGAUCAGGCACUUCAGUUUUCUGACCAUGGAGAGUGGGUCUCACAAACCUCAUAGGUCUCACAUGUCUCAAAGCUGCAUAAAUUGGGCAUUCAUUUCAGUUGUUUUGUCUGACUGUUAGGCUCUUUAAGUAUUUUAUAUAUUUAAGAGGCAUUUGGACAAGGCCUCUAAUAACACCCUUUAAAAUGUGGUCAGCCCUGAAGUGAUCAGACAGUUGGGCUAGAUGAUUAUUGUAGGUCCCUUUCAAGAGAAAAUACUGCAUUCUAUUCUAGUCUAGUCUAGUCUAGUCUAUUCUAGUCUUAUUACAGUGAAAGAGCUUUCCCUCCUCUUUGUACUUCACAGUACAACCUGGAUCUCCACGUCACAAGCCUUGUAGCCUCCUGCAUGAGGCACUCCUGCAAAAAGAAAGUCGCUGCUGGGAAGUGCAAGCCAAAGUGCCAGCCAUGCACAAAGGCUGAAUGCUAUGCUAUGUGUUACCUGAAUAUUUUCCUUUAGAAUUGGGGAGCCCACAGCUGACUGCCCUCUCCCAUCUCUCUGCCAGCCCCAAAAGCAAAUGUUUUGGGAGUACUCCUUCCACCCAUAUUUGCAGAAAACAUUCCAUAAUAUCAGGGUCCUUCCAAUUAAUUGAUUAGACAGAGAGUAGUUCUGCUUCCAGGCAUUCAAACAAAAUGCAGCUGAGUUCAGCAGUGCUUCCAGGGCUGAAGCACUGCUGAACUUGUAUUUUGGCACCAGACUCAGUGUGGUUUUGUUUAGACAAGCAGAAGGUCAGAAAACAAGGAGAUGGCAACAAAGCAGACACAUGUGCUGGUUGUCUUCAGGUUUGAGCUAAACCACAGCCAGGGAAGCAAGGCCAACUGCAGAGGUGGAAGUAGAUGGAAGAGGCUACCUGAAAGGGGCUUGGAUACCAGAACCUCCAGGGAAUCAUGAGGAAUUUCUGACAAUCACAGCAGAGUACAAGGGAAGGAGCUGGGCAUACCUUCAUGAACGUUGUUUUCAGCUUUUGCUUUGUAAUCUUUUCUCCAGCUCCUCUGAUUCCAAGAAAUGCACUGCAGGAAUGAUGGCAGCCUCCACCUCUCCCUGUCUUUCAUGUCUUCUGAAUAAACCAGAGAAGAUGAGUUCA
ensembl:lncRNA